UUAGCUAGUUGGUGAGGUAACAGCUCACCAAGGCAUCGAUGCCUAGCUGGUCUGAGAGGAUGAUCAGCCACACUGGGACUGAGAUACGGCCCAGACUCCUACGGGAGGCAGCAGUGAGGAAUAUUGCACAAUGGGGGCAACCCUGAUGCAGCAACGCCGCGUGUAUGAAGAAUCGGUUUAUCCGUGUAAAGUACUGUUGAUUGGGAAGAACGGCAGGGUUAGCAGCCUUGUUUGACGGUACCAGUUAAGAAAGCUCCGGCUAACUCCGUGCCAGCAGCCGCGGUAAUACGGAGGGAGCAAACGUUGUCCGGAAUCAUUGGGCGUAAAGGGUACGAAGGUGGGAUCUUAAGUCAGUUGUUAAAGAUUACAGCUUAACUGUGAUUUGCAAUUGAAACUGGGAUUCUUGAGUUCGAGAGGGGACGGUGGAAUAUCUAGUGUAGCGGUGGAAUGCGUAGAUAUUAGAUAGAACACCUGAGGCGAAGGCGACCGUCUGGCUCGUAACUGACACUCAAGUACGAAAGCAUGGUAGCGAACAGGAUUAGAUACCCUGGUAGUCCAUGCCGUAAACGAUGGAUACUAGAUGUCCGGGGAACUAACCCCCUGGGUGUCGCAGCUAACGCAUUAAGUAUCCCGCCUGGGGAGUACGAUCGCAAGGUUGAAACUCAA
rnacentral:rRNA from 1 species